UCAAAGAAGGGGCCCUGCGGGGGUGGAGAGGCUGAACAGCACCUAGUGGAAGGUGCCCUCGGUGGGUAAGAGGACGUGUUUGUGCCAGAGUCCAUUAGCAUGGGGAGUGUGCCUACCAUCUGGUCUCUCAGAGCAGGGACAGGCACAGCUGUGACUGCUCAUCCUCAGUGAGGCUGACCCUAAAGCAUAGCCACGGGUAUAUAUUGUAAAUCUCCUUGGCCUUCUCCAGAGGGUUGUGCCACCAUUUUGCAGGUGACUGUCAUUAAGAAAGGGGAACUAGUGAGACUUUGGGGGAAUUGUUGUAUACUGGAUGUGAGAUGACACUACCUCCUAGGGACUCAAAAUGCUACGAUGGCCCAUCAGCCAGAGUAGCAGAUUGUUGUGGUCAAGUGGUUAAUAGGGUUUUGCUUCAGGUCCAUUUCACAGUGGGCCAAGUGUGUCCCUGAACCUAUCCUAUGCUUAUAUCCCCAGUUCUGGGGUGCAUAACUGGAACAUAGACAUACUCAGCAACUGGCAGAGCCCCCACAUUGUUUCCUUGACCCGUGGAAUGAACUAAAGGCUACUUUGGUGGGAAAGGCCAAGUCGCAGGUUCUAGAAUGGCCUCAGAAGCAUUAUGGCAUUCCUGGAGGGACUGCAGAGGUUAGUGCUGCUAUCAAGGACUUGAAAGUCAGGGUUAGAGAAUCCUACCGUAUUUCCAUUUCACUUGCCUAUUUGGCCUGUGCAGAAGACAGAUGGAUUUUAGGAACCAACAGUGGAUCAUUGUACACUCAGUCAGUUGGUGACUUCGAUUGCAGUUGCUUAUCCAGAUAUGUACAUUUUUCACAUCCUCUAGCAUCUGGCAUGCAGUUAUUAAGCUUGCAGAUGCCUCUUCCCCUCUGUACAUGUUAGUAAAGGUUAGCAGAAGCAGUGUGCCUUUAGCUGGCAGGGCUAGCAAUGUACCUUCACUGAACUAACUCUUCUCUAGUCCUCUGUCAUAAUCUAAUCUACAGGACUCUUGCUUGUCCCUCUAUUCCAUGAGACAUCAUACUGAGCUACUACACUGAUGACCAUUGAUGACAUCAUGCUGAUUGGACCUAGUAAGCAAGAAGAUUUGAAGUGGCAGAAAGUGCUCUAUACCACACCGAGUAAGCCUCAAUAAAAAUUUCUUCAUCUGACUUUCAAAAAGACUGCGGGCAAGGCUCGCUUGGAGGAAUGCGGUGGAGACGUCCGGCAUCUGGACAUUCCUUCCGCGUGAUGGCACACAUCUGGCUCUUUGGAAUGAGCAGAACAUUUCCCUUCCAGUUUCCCUCCAGAUGUCUGAGGAUUUGAAGCUACAGCCCAAGAGACACACAGGAAGACUACAGUUCUAUGCAGUAGCACUUAGUUGAUUGUGAGAUCGUGUAUCCCUCUUGUACCCCCGCUGAGGAGGCUGUGGGGGCACAGCGUCUCAGCCUGACACUGGGUCAACUGCACGGAAGGUGGGUGCUCUGAAGAGUUGCCUGGAGCUGCAGGGGAAUUUGUGUGAAUGAGAAAUAAACCACUGUCUUGUUAAGCCAUUGAGGUUUGGGGGUUUUUUGUA